CACUAAUGCACAUGGCUGAAUUGAAGUCCCUGCAGCAAUCUUCCAAAAUCUAGUGGAAAGUCUUCUCUGAAGAGUGGAGGCUGUUAUAGCAGCAAAGGGGGGGUACCAACUCCAUAUUAAUGACCAUGAUUUUGGAAUGAGAUGUUCGAAGAGCAGAUGGCCACAUACUUUUGGUCAUGUAGUGUAUAUUACACAAAAAAAUAUUACCAAUAGGGUACAUUUUAAAACUUUACAGGUAAGAAGUCAGACAGAAUUAAACCUAUCCAACAAUACUUUUAUUUGGUAAACCACCCAGCUCACCCAAAAAAUUGAUCGCUCCUACAAACCGUGGCUUGCUAUAUAAAGCAUGCAUCGAGACAUUGUUAAAUUGAACGUUAGGAUGGACAAAACGAGUAACCUAAUCGACGGAGAACGGAAUCUCAGAAUGCACAACUUGUUGAUGCUUGUCACUGAUGGGCUAUACAGCAGACAACCACACCGGGUUCCACUCCUAUAAGUUAAAAACAAGAAGAAGAAGCGCCUCCAGUGGGCACACGAUCACCAACACUGGACAACUGAGUGGAAAAACAGCACCUGGAACAUGACAGCGAGUUCAUUUUACUUAGAGCAUCUUUGGGAUGAGAUUGAACGGGCUGUUCGCAGCAUGAAUGUUUGCGUGAUGUCUCCAAUCUGCGAGAUGCCAUUGCACCAGCAAGGUCCAAAAUCCCUGUGGAACACUACUGACACCUUGUAGAACGGCCCGAAGAAUACUGGCUGUUCUGGAGGGGAAGGGGGGGGUGGGGCAACACAGUAAUGGAUAGGUGUCCCUAACAAACUGUCCGGUGUCUCAUACUUUCAAGGGAGCGACAUCUUUGUACAACUCGGAUGAUUAGAAAAGUUAAAACAUAACAUUUUUAAUCCACAAAAAGAAAACACUGCUGCUCGAUUUGAACACAAAAAAUAACAAUUGAUCAACAAAAAAAAUAAAUGCAGGAGAUUUUAGCAACAUCAAAUGUACAAAAAUAAUAGCAGUUAACUUGAUGGCUAGAUAUCGCUGCUAACUCCAGAUUUAUAACUUCUCUUUUCUUAUAAAUGGGUUUUUGGACUCUUAACCUCUUCUGUAGCCAGAGGUUAAUACCCGUUAGCCCAAAACUGUACAUUUGCAUUUCAUAGUUGACCAAUUCUUAUGUGCUGAACUUAAAUCCAUUGGGUUCUCAAUUAAUAGAAUUAAACCGAUAUGAAUGUAAAUUGAAGACAGCCAAUGUUUUUCAGAGAUAUCAUGUUAACUCAACUAAUGAACCGAGGUGGGGUGUGUAAUAACCACUCCCUAGAUACCAUAUUCAUAUGUUGUAGUGUUGAACAAAAACACCUUUAGCUACAGAAUAACAGGGUUUGAAGGUGGUGGGGUCCUAGGAUCUGGAGCGAGAUCGGGACACAGAUCUGGAGUAGGAGCGUCGACAGGCCUGUUUCUGGGAGCCAGAAGAGGGGUGGAAGUCCUUGACGGGGCUGGGGGAUUUGGACUGAGACUUUGUGUCUUUGGGCCUGGAUCUGGGAGGAGAGGGGGAGCGGGAUGCGGAGCGGUUACGAGACGGGGGUGCGUGGUGCAUCCUGUGGUGUUCACGUGGAGGGCCCCUGUACCUGUAGAAAAAAGGAUGAUGGCAUAUGAACAGAACAAUCAGUCAACACACUAAUGAAUACACUGACUUGACAACAGUGAAGUGUUUGUAAAAACAAAGGCCUAUGCAUUAUAAAUGCAAUCUCACUGCACUGUGUCGUGUUAGACAAGUCAGAAUAAUGAGUCGUAUAUAUUGGUCUACCUGUCAUUUUCAUGGCUUCUGCUUCGCCUGUGCCUGCCAUAUGAUCGAGAGCUUUAGAGAGAAAAGUAAAAGUAAGAACCAGUCUUUAUACAAAGGCAUUUCGGUCUGCAAUGAAAGCCCCUUUGGGAGGAUUACUUGACAAGCGAAACGGUGGUUUAGUUUCAAUGUCACAGAGGAACUCACUCUCUAGGGCUCUCCGACCUCCGAGGACGGCGGUCGCAGGAAGGGCUGCGUGACCGGCGCCUUUCAUAGCUGCGACUGCGAGAGCGUCUGCGUCGGCCAUCGCCGCGUUCGUAGUCGUCAUAGCGGGAGAAGGAGCUGCUGCGGGACCCUCUGCGAGGAGAGCUCUCCUUAGUCUUCAUCUGGUUGGGGGCUGGAGGGACAAGAGUUAUUAAAAUGAAAUACUGGGCACAGGGAUAGUUGAGCAAGAAGGGUUUUAAAAAUAAUUUUGCAUUCAGGUUGGCAAUGAUGUCACUAGUCUGAGAGACCCGAGUCAAGAUAUUACCACUAAAAGUGAAGCUGUAGGCCUAG
rnacentral:lncRNA from 1 species